AUUGAACGCUGGCGGAAUGCUUUACACAUGCAAGUCGAGCGGCAGCGCGGGGGCAACCCUGGCGGCGAGCGGCGAACGGGUGAGUAAUACAUCGGAACGUGUCCUUAAGUGGGGGAUAGCUCGGCGAAAGCCGGAUUAAUACCGCAUAAGCUCUGAGGAGGAAAGCGGGGGCUCCGUAAGGACCUCGCGCUGUUGGAGCGGCCGAUGUCGGAUUAGCUAGUUGGUGGGGUAAAGGCCCACCAAGGCGACGAUCCGUAGCUGGUCUGAGAGGAUGAUCAGCCACACUGGAACUGAGACACGGUCCAGACUCCUACGGGAGGCAGCAGUGGGGAAUUUUGGACAGUGGGGGCAACCCUGAUCCAGCCAUUCCGCGUGAGUGAAGAAGGCC
rnacentral:rRNA from 1 species